rnacentral:rRNA from 1 species
CUCCUACGGGAGGCAGCAGUGAGGAAUAUUGGUCAAUGGACGCAAGUCUGAACCAGCCAUGCCGCGUGCAGGAUGACGGCUCUAUGAGUUGUAAACUGCUUUUGUACGAGGGUAAACGCAGAUACGUGUAUCUGUCUGAAAGUAUCGUACGAAUAAGGAUCGGCUAACUCCGUGCCAGCAGCCGCGGUAAUACGGAGGAUUCAAGCGUUAUCCGGAUUUAUUGGGUUUAAAGGGUGCGUAGGCGGUUUGAUAAGUUAGAGGUGAAAUUUCGGGGCUCAACCCUGAACGUGCCUCUAAUACUGUUGAGCUAGAGAGUAGUUGCGGUAGGCGGAAUGUAUGGUGUAGCGGUGAAAUGCUUAGAGAUCAUACAGAACACCGAUUGCGAAGGCAGCUUACCAAACUAUAUCUGACGUUGAGGCACGAAAGCGUGGGGAGCAAACAGGAUUAGAUACCCUGGUAGUCCACGCAGUAAACGAUGAUAACUCGUUGUCGGCGAUACACAGUCGGUGACUAAGCGAAAGCGAUAAGUUAUCCACCUGGGGAGUACGUUCGCAAGAAUGAAACUCAAAGGAAUUGACGGGGGCCCGCACAAGCGGAGGAACAUGUGGUUUAAUUCGAUGAUACGCGAGGAACCUUACCCGGGCUUGAAAGUUAGCGACGAUUCUUGAAAGAGGAUUUCCCUUCGGGGCGCGAAACUAGGUGCUGCAUGGUUGUCGUCAGCUCGUGCCGUGAGGUGUCGGGUUAAGUCCCAUAACGAGCGCAACCCCUACCGUUAGUUGCCAUCAGGUCAAGCUGGGCACUCUGGCGGGACUGCCGGUGUAAGCCGAGAGGAAGGUGGGGAUGACGUCAAAUCAGCACGGCCCUUACGUCCGGGGCUACACACGUGUUACAAUGGUAGGUACAGAGGGCAGCUACCCAGCGAUGGGAUGCGAAUCUCGAAAGCCUAUCUCAGUUCGGAUUGGAGGCUGAAACCCGCCUCCAUGAAGUUGGAUUCGCUAGUAAUCGCGCAUCAGCCAUGG